rnacentral:rRNA from 1 species
UACGUAGGGUGCGAGCGUUAAUCGGAAUUACUGGGCGUAAAGCGUGCGCAGGCGGUGAUGUAAGACCGAUGUGAAAUCCCCGGGCUUAACCUGGGAACUGCAUUGGUGACUGCAUUGCUGGAGUAUGGCAGAGGGGGGUGGAAUUCCACGUGUAGCAGUGAAAUGCGUAGAGAUGUGGAGGAACACCGAUGGCGAAGGCAGCCCCUGGGCCAAUACUGACGCUCAUGCACGAAAGCGUGGGGAGCAA